AGGGGGUCCCCUGUACCAAGAUGGCGGCUUUAUUGACGCAUUCGUUCCAAUGUACUGCCCUAUACAAGGCGACAUCUAGUGUAGAUAUCUAUGGAGGAAUGCCGUAAUAAAUUACACUCCAUUCCGCGUUUUACCUACAACAUUGACCACACGCAUGCUUUCUGAAAUACAUGGGCGUUGGAACUUGGGCGUUGUGUCACUGCCCUUCCCCCCUCUGCAGUAUAAACUGUAAUGAAAGUGAAAGUCAGCAGCUCCAUUUAGUGACGAGUGAACAGUAAAAGAUUUGAGGAGUAAAAACACAAAUGAUGAAGGGAAAAAGAUCAGACUCACCAGAACCCAGCUGUGUGUCCAUGAAGAGUGACCGGUCGAUAAAUCGUCCAAUUGACUUCAGAGACAGAGACAGUUCUACUGAUGUGAGACCACAAAAAUCAAACAUCAGCACAAAUCAGCUGGACUCCAUAUUCAAGGAGCUGGAAC